GAACCUAAUCAACGCCAGCGUUCAAUCCGGUCCGGCAACUGUCCUACCGGCCCGCCCGCCCAGUCCGCCGCGAAUCCCUGUCUCUUCCUCUCCAUUCAUUCCGUCGAAUCUCCCUCCACUGCCAUCGACACACCAGAAACCGUCGUUUGUCCCAUCUGUUCCCUCGGCUCCGCCCCCUCCUCCUGUCAACUCUCAUUCGAGUAUUGGUGCGUCCGGAUUUGGGUCACCUCCGAAUACGUUGACGGAGCCUGUUUGGGAGACGGUGAAGAGAGAUCUGUCGAGGAUCGU
rnacentral:misc_RNA from 1 species